UACGUAGGUGGCAAGCGUUAUUCGGAAUUAUUGGGCGUAAAGCGCGCGCAGGCGGUUUCUUAAGUCUGAUGUGAAAGCCCACGGCUCAACCGUGGAGGGUCAUUGGAAACUGGGGAACUUGAGUGCAGAAGAGAAAAGCGGAAUUCCACGUGUAGCGGUGAAAUGCGUAGAGAUGUGGAGGAACACCAGCGGCGAAGGCGGCUUUUUGGUCUGUAACUGACGCUGAGGCGCGAAAGCGUGGGGAGCAAACAGG
rnacentral:rRNA from 1 species